rnacentral:rRNA from 1 species
GACGAACGCUGGCGGCGUGCUUAACACAUGCAAGUCGAACGGAAAGGCCCUGCUUUUGUGGGGUGCUCGAGUGGCGAACGGGUGAGUAACACGUGAGUAACCUGCCCUUGACUUUGGGAUAACUUCAGGAAACUGGGGCUAAUACCGGAUAGGAGCUCCUGCUGCAUGGUGGGGGUUGGAAAGUUUCGGCGGUUGGGGAUGGACUCGCGGCUUAUCAGCUUGUUGGUGGGGUAGUGGCUUACCAAGGCUUGACGGGUUGCCGGCCUGAGAGGGGGGCCGGCCACAUUGGGACUGAGAUACGGCCCAGACUCCUACGGGAGGCAGAAGUGGGGAAUAUUGCACAAUGGGCGGAAGCCUGAUGCAGCAACGCCGCGUGCGGGAUGACGGCCUUCGGGUUGUAAACCGCUUUCGCCUGUGACGAAGCGUGAGUGACGGUAAUGGGUAAAGAAGCACCGGCUAACUACGUG